UACGGAGGGUGCAAGCGUUAUCCGGAUUCACUGGGUUUAAAGGGUGCGUAGGCGGGCAGGUAAGUCAGUGGUGAAAUCUCCGAGCUUAACUCGGAAACUGCCUUUGAUACUAUCUGUCUUGAAUAUGGUGGAGGUAAGCGGAAUAUGUCAUGUAGCGGUGAAAUGCUUAGAUAUGACAUAGAACACCUAUUGCGAAGGCAGCUUACUACGCCUAUAUUGACGCUGAGGCACGAAAGCGUGGGGAUCAAACAGG
rnacentral:rRNA from 1 species